rnacentral:tRNA from 1 species
GGGGUCGUAGUUCAGUUUGGUUAGAACGCUGGCCUGUCACGNNACGCCAGAGGUCGCGAGUUCAAGUCUCGUCGGCCCCGCCA